AAUAUUGCGCAAUGGGCGGAAGCCUGACGCAGCGACGCCGCGUGAGGGAUGACGGCCUUCGGGUUGUAAACCUCUUUCAGCUCUGACGAAGCGUGAGUGACGGUAGGAGCAGAAGAAGCACCGGCCAACUACGUGCCAGCAGCCGCGGUAAUACGUAGGGUGCAAGCGUUGUCCGGAAUUAUUGGGCGUAAAGAGCUCGUAGGCGGUUUGUCGCGUCGAAUGUGAAAACCCGGGGCUCAACUCCGGGCCUGCAUUCGAUACGGGCAGACUAGAGUUCGGUAGGGGAGACUGGAAUUCCUGGUGUAGCGGUGAAAUGCGCAGAUAUCAGGAGGAACACCGGUGGCGAAGGCGGGUCUCUGGGCCGAUACUGACGCUGAGGAGCGAAAGCGUGGGGAGCAA
rnacentral:rRNA from 1 species